GAUGAACGCUGGCGGCGUGCCUAAUACAUGCCAGUCGAGCGAACAGACGAGGAGCUUGCUCCUCUGACGUUAGCGGCGGACGGGUGAGUAACACGUGGAUAACCUACCUAUAAGACUGGGAUAACUUCGGGAAACCGGAGCUAAUACCGGAUAAUAUAUUGAACCGCAUGGCUCAAUAGUGAAAGACGGUUUUGCUGUCACUUAUAGAUGGAUCCGCGCCGCAUUAGCUAGUUGGUAAGGUAACGGCUUACCAAGGCAACGAUGCGUAGCCGACCUGAGAGGGUGAUCGGCCGCACUGGAACUGAGACACGGUCCAGACUCCUACGGGAGGCAGCAGUAGGGAAUCUUCCGCAAUGGGCGAAAGCCUGACGGAGCAACGCCGCGUGAGUGAUGAAGGUCUUCGGAUCGUAAAACUCUGUUAUUAGGGAAGAACAAAUGCGUAAGUAACUAUGCACGUCUUGACGGUACCUAAUCAGAAAGCCACGGCUAACUACGUG
rnacentral:rRNA from 1 species